GAAACACACAAUGCAUCCCUUGCACACACAUGCAAACACACACUGCUUCUCUUACACACACACACACAGAAACACAAUGCAUCUCUUACACACACUCAACGCACCCCUUACAGACACACACACUGCAUCCCUUACAUACACAGAAACACACAUUGCAUCCCUUAUGCAUACAAACACAGAUUCACACAAUGCAUCCCUUACACACAACAAGAAACACA